rnacentral:rRNA from 1 species
UACGUAGGGUGCAAGCGUUGUCCGGAAUUAUUGGGCGUAAAGAGCUCGUAGGCGGUUUGUCGCGUCUGCUGUGAAAACUCGGGGCUUAACCCCGGGCCUGCAGUGGGUACGGGCAGACUAGAGUGCGGUAGGGGAGACUGGAAUUCCUGGUGUAGCGGUGAAAUGCGCAGAUAUCAGGAGGAACACCGGUGGCGAAGGCGGGUCUCUGGGCCGAUACUGACGCUGAGGAGCGAAAGCGUGGGGAGCGAACGGG